GACUAUCUGAUGAAUCAGAGGUUUGCUGAUCAUAUCUUCUCACACUAACUGCUAUGCAGGUGUGUUGGUCACAGCAGGAAGCCACGAGUUUGGCUUGUCUGGAGGUAAGGCUUCUCUUGGAGCCUAUGUUUGGUGGAGAGUGUGAGGGAGCUUCCUUCUGUGGGGUAGCCUGGAUAAUUCAAGUCAGGUGUAGAGCAAGGAGCACAUGCUUCUAGGAAACAGAGAAGCUGUGGGGAUGACCACAGGCCACAAACCCUGCCUGGACAGCUCAGCAGAGCCAGCAGCACCUGUUCAUAGGAAGAUGGACAGAAUAAGGAAUGCCUGGAGCAGCUGAGCCUGUCCAGGAGGUGCAAGGUGCCUGUGGAGCCUACAAGGACAGUGACAUCACAGGCAAGCCCUCCACUCAGAGCAAAGGGAGGGGCAAAGCCUCUGCUCUCUCACCCUAAGCACCAGAGCCCAGAGCUGGGAGAUGGCCAGUCUUGCCCUGUCCAAAUCUUCCAGGGGCCCUCAGCUCCUCUGCUGCUUGGCCCUCUGUCUCCUGGGGGCAGGUUCAGUGGCUGCUGGAGUUACCCAGUCCCCAAGACAUGUAAUCAAAGGCCAAGGGGGGAUGGCCAUUCUGAAGUGCCACCCCAUCUCCGGACACAGAAGUGUGUACUGGUACCAGCAGGCUCUGGGACACGGCCCUCAAUUCCUCAUUGAAUAUUUUGAAAAGAAGGAGAGAGAAAAAGGGAGCAUCCCUGAUCGGUUCUCAGGAAAUCAGUCCAGUGACUACAGCUCUGAGCUGGCCAUGAGCGCCUUGCAGCUGGGAGACUCAGCUGUGUAUCUCUGUGCCAGCAGCUUAGACACAGCCCUGCAGGGUCAAUGGCUUUCUGUACUCAAACCUCCCUGCCCCAGCUGAGGAUGUCACAGGAGAGGGAGGGGGCCUUAGCAACUUACCAGUAUAGGGCUAACUUCUUUUGCAACAUCCUCCCUGGCCUGCUGAGCUCAGCCAGAGCUUUCCUGAGUGUCCUCCCAGCUCUGCCAGCACCUUGCAAUUCCUAGCACAUGGCAGGAACUCCUGCUGUGGUAGAUGGGUUGUCCACAUUGUGUGUGCUAAUGCGAGGUAGACACUGUGUGUCCAUUUUACAGAAGAUAAAAUGCUCCAUAUAUGGUUUUAUAGCCAGGAUGUUGCAGCUCCUGGAUGUCCCAAAUAUUUCACAUUUGUCAACCAUACAUCUCCAGGCCUCAGAAGUCAACAUUCCCCCAGAAUUCCAUGGUGCUGCCUGUGCCUUAGUUAAUGGAAUACUAUGCAACUCUACAAAAGAAGUAUCUCUCAUCCAUUGAGACAGCAAGGAGGGACUUGGAGAGUAUUAUGCUAAGCAAAGUAAUUCAGUCAGAGAAAGACAAGUAUCACAUGAUCUCACUUACAUGUGGAAUCUAGUGAACAAAAUAGAUACAGAGACAUAGAAGCAUGAAACAGAAUGACGUACCUCAGAG